UGUGAAUGUCCCUUUAAUACUCUGCCAUUCUUCUGGGUGGGUUCAUUUACGCUUAUGAUGAAUAGCGUGGAAUCAUGUUAUGCUGCUUUACUAACGCCUGGCAUAUUAUAUUACAUGUGAGUGGUUCCUUGCUUCAUACGUUGGAAUAUUUCUGUGCAGUUAAAUGACCCCCUGCCAUUCUAGGAAAGGUGGUCUUGACUGCUGGCAUGCGUGGCUGGCUUAGCAACACACAUACUAGGAGUUUAACAAUGUUGUAAUUUAGGACACAAGGACUAUGUAUUCUAACUUACCACUUCCUUCCCAGUCUAGUUUCAAGAAGACGAG